rnacentral:rRNA from 1 species
UACGUAGGGUGCAAGCGUUGUCCGGAAUUACUGGGCGUAAAGGGCUCGUAGGCGGCCAACUAAGUCGGACGUGAAAUCCCCAGGCUUAACCUGGGAACUGCGUCCGAUACUGGAUGGCUUGAAUUCGGGAGAGGGAUGCAGAAUUCCAGGUGUAGCGGUGAAAUGCGUAGAUAUCUGGAGGAAUACCGGUGGCGAAGGCGGCAUCCUGGACCGACAUUGACGCUGAUGAGCGAAAGCUAGGGGAGCAAACGGG